rnacentral:rRNA from 1 species
ACUCCUACGGGAGGCAGCAGUGGGGAAUAUUGGACAAUGGGCGCAAGCCUGAUCCAGCAAUGCCGCGUGUGUGGAGAAGGCCUGCGGGUUGUAAAGCACUUUCAGUGGGGAAGAAAAGCGGGAUGCUAAUACCAUCCUGUCUUGACGUUACCCACAGAAGAAGCACCGGCUAACUCCGUGCCAGCAGCCGCGGUAAU